GUGGGGAAUAUUGGACAAUGGGCGCAAGCCUGAUCCAGCCAUGCCGCGUGAGUGAUGAAGGCCUUAGGGUUGUAAAGCUCUUUCACCGGUGAAGAUAAUGACGGUAACCGGAGAAGAAGCCCCGGCUAACUUCGUGCCAGCAGCCGCGGUAAUACGAAAGGGGCUAGCGUUGUUCGGAAUUACUGGGCGUAAAGCGCACGUAGGCUGAUAUUUAAGUCAGGGGUGAAAUCCCGGGGCUCAACCCCGGAACUGCCUUUGAUACUGGGUAUCUUGAGUAUGGAAGAGGUCAGUGGAAUUGCGAGUGUAGAGGUGAAAUUCGUAGAUAUUCGCAGGAACACCAGUGGCGAAGGCGGCUGACUGGUCCAUUACUGACGCUGAGGUGCGAAAGCAUGGGGAGCAAACAGGAUUAGAAACCCUAGUAGUCC
rnacentral:rRNA from 1 species